UUUCAAAUUGAGAUCUUAGUUUACAUAUAGAGUUACAUAUUUCUUAACAAAAUUACAACAUUAUCUCAAAAGGCAUUAAUGUGAAUGUAUCUAAUUUAUUUCUUUUCACUCGAGAGCUUGCAGGAAUGAAGCUGAAACCACAAACUAAUUAAUCGGGCGGCUACGUGCGCAGCUUUAGAGUUCAGGGUUCAGGGUCUCUGAGGGGAUAUAUGUCGUGUGGCCUGUGCCUGUCUCAAACGAUAGCGACGACGACGGAUUGGACAUUGUGGGUUUUUAUGGUUCAAAGAGCUGGUCGCUGGUCUCUGGAGCUUACCAAAACCGCCGACGCUGCUGCUGCCGUGGCUGCUGUUGCUGCUGCGGUUUGCGGUUCUUUCUGCGCCUGAUGCAAUUGUUCGUGCUCCCGGUCCAUGAGACGCACACAAACACACACACACACACACACACACACACUCUUACUCAGAUACAUUUUCCAAAAUGGCGUCGGCGUGGCACUGAUGUAGAUACAAAACAGUAAAGCCGCAGGGGUCCCAAACGUGAUGCAGUUGCAAUAAAAUUUCAAGUCGGCUUAUGCCGUCGGAGGCGUACAGUAUAUACGGUGGGCGUGGUUCAGCUGUCGAAUGAAACGCCCUAAGCUUUGAAUUUGUGCUUACGUCUAGCGGAGCUCUUACGUUUUUGCCGUCUCAUUCAGGAUUUAUACACACAGCUUAUGAAACUUUAUCCAGAUGCUGAAAUACAUAUCUUUGGGCCAGGCCAUAGUAUGAGAUGCGCUUCAAUUUAAAGUUACGUCAACUUGUGCUGCCUCUGGCUGGCUGGCUGCCUGCCUUUUUAUUGUGCAUUAUAAUCCGCUUUAUGUGAUCGGAUUAUGUCCUGCGUUGCGCCUAAUCCCACCACAUUCAGGCGUCCGGUGACAUGUGUAGCCUAUCCGGAGCGAAGCGAACCGGCGGUCCACCCUCUUUUCAGUUCAACUGAUCCGUUCGCGUAGUCAACUUUAAUUACGCUCGCUCUGUGGCUGGAUUAAGGCCCCAGCCACGCCCAAGUGCCAGUUGAACAGAAAAGCAAUUAAAAUGUGUAUCUGUUGGAUACACACACACAUAGACACGCACACACACACACACACACACACACACACACACACACAUACAACCUAUAACGUAGCAGGUGCGGGGAGCAGGUAGCGCUUGAAAGUGAAAAGCGGCUUUCCCAAAGAUCUGUUCGUUAAGAUUGCCUCGCAAUAAAGUUAAUUAGAAACUUUUGGGUAGAGCUCAUUUACCCAACCGCCUGGCCGCUCGUACUUCGUCCCUCACUUCGGUCAUCGGCACUUUGCUUUGCUUGCAUAUUCUAGUGAAAUUAUAGUUAAUUGCACAUCAUUAAAAGCAAAUUCUUGGAAUUAAUUUUAUGUUUCGUCGAAACAAAAGCAAAAGCAACAACAACGUAACGCCAAUAAACAAAAUGGCCGUCCGCCACCGAAACUCAGCAGCUGCCCCAUUCAUUAUAGUGUCAGAUUCAACGAAUAAUUACAACCUGCACUACACACACACACACACACACACACACGCGCGCGCGCAAGAGUUGAAAAUGUCAUUCAAAGUGACCGCUGGCCGAGGAUGUCCUAGGAAUUUGCAAAAAGUUGUAGCCUUACUUCGUUAAUUACGUACUUAACUGUUUUCAAUUUUAAAGGUGUAUACACAAAAAGGCUUAAA